UUUGUGGAGGGUUCGAUUCUGGCUCAGGAUGAACGCUGGCGGCGUGCUUAACACAUGCAAGUCGAACGGGAUCCCGGGUUUCGGCCUGGGUGAGAGUGGCGAACGGGUGAGUAAUGCGUGACCGACCUGCCCUGUACACCGGAAUAGCUCCUGGAAACGGGUGGUAAUGCCGGAUGCUCCGACAUGCUGCAUGGCGUGUUGGGAAAGAUUUAUCGGUAUGGGAUGGGGUCGCGUCCUAUCAGGUAGUCGGCGGGGUAACGGCCCACCGAGCCUAUGACGGGUAGCCGGCCUGAGAGGCGACCGGCCACAUUGUGGACUGAGAUACGGCCCAGACUCCUACGGGAGGCAGCAGUGGGGAAUAUUGCACAAUGGGCGCAAGCCUGAUGCAGCGACGCCGCGGUGCGGGAUGGACGGCCUUCGGGUUGUAAACCGC
rnacentral:ncRNA from 1 species